UCGAGAAUCUUCGGCAAUGGGCGCAAGCCUGACCGAGCGACGCCGCGUGGAGGACGAAGGCCUUCGGGUUGUAAACUCCUGUCGAGGGGGAAGAAGGUCCGCGAGGGCUUGACUGAUCCCUGGAGGAAGCACGGGCUAAGUUCGUGCCAGCAGCCGCGGUAAGACGAACCGUGCGAACGUUAUUCGGAAUCACUGGGCUUAAAGCGCGUGUAGGCGGGGCGGCACGUCGGACGCUGAAAUCCCCCGGCUCAACCGGGGAACGGGCGCCGAUACGACCGCCCUCGAGGGGCGUAGGGGGACCUGGAACUUCCGGUGGAGCGGUGAAAUGCGUUGAGAUCGGAAGGAACGCCCGUGGCGAAAGCGAGGUCCUGGACGUCUUCUGACGCUGAGACGCGAAAGCCAGGGGAGCGAACG
rnacentral:rRNA from 1 species